rnacentral:rRNA from 1 species
CCGGGCGGGUAGCACCUGACAAACGGCGAGUGAAGCGGCAAAAGCUCAAAUUUGAAAUCUGGCACCUUCGGUGUCCGAGUUGUAAUUUGAAGAAGGUAACUUUGGAGUUGGCUCUUGUCUAUGUUCCUUGGAACAGGACGUCACAGAGGGUGAGAAUCCCGUGCGAUGAGAUGCCCAAUUCUAUGUAAAGUGCUUUCGAAGAGUCGAGUUGUUUGGGAAUGCAGCUCUAAGUGGGUGGUAAAUUCCAUCUAAAGCUAAAUAUUGGCGAGAGACCGAUAGCGAACAAGUACAGUGAUGGAAAGAUGAAAAGAACUUUGAAAAGAGAGUGAAAAAGUACGUGAAAUUGUUGAAAGGGAAGGGCUUGAGAUCAGACUUGGUAUUUUGCGAUCCUUUCCUUCUUGGUUGGGUUCCUCGCAGCUUACUGGGCCAGCAUCGGUUUGGAUGGUAGGAUAAUGACUAAGGAAUGUGGCUCUACUUCGGUGGAGUGUUAUAGCCUUGGUUGAUACUGCCUGUCUAGACCGAGGACUGCGUCUUUUGACUAGGAUGUUGGCAUAAUGAUCUUAAGCCACCCCUCUUGAACAACCUUACCAAAAAAAAAAAUUUUUUUUUUUUUCUUUUUUUCUGCCGGAACCAAAGAGUCUAACAAUAUGUGCCCGUUCCGCGGGUGUUAAAACCUGCUCCUG